CAAACAGUAAUUCAAAGGGGUUAUUAAGGAAAAACUAGCAAAUUUAUAAAAAAGGAGGGCACAAGUCCAAAAGCCACAAUUUACCGAAAGGUGAUCAAGUUUCAUUAGAUUUAUUUAAUGUUGACAAAGAAUGUAGGCGAUCCUAAGGGAAACCUUUAUAUUUAAACUUCCCGAAGUAAAACAUUUCAUUAGGGAAAGGAAAGGAAAUCAACCGAGACUCCGAAAGUAAUGGCGAGUGAAAUCGGACUAGCCUUUAUUUAAAAAUAAAUUUAACAAAAAUACACACCAGAAACCAAAGAAGGUAAAACAGUCCUGUAUGUUAAAUCUUUUUAAAACUAAUGUUUAAAUAAGUAUUAUUAAAUUAAAAUUUAUUUAAAUAAUGAGUACGACGAGAGCGAACUUGUCGGAAUAUAGGGGAACCAUCCUCUAAGGCUAAGUAUUUAUAAAUUUAGCGAUAGUGAAAAGUACCGUGAGGGAAAGUUUGAAAUAGUUAUGUAAUUUUAGACAUAAAUGAAAUAGUUGAAUUAGUAACUCUAUAAGCAGUCGAAAUUUAUAAUUAUAAAUGACGGCGUACCUUUUGCAUAAUGGGUCAGCAAGUUAAUAGGAGUAGCAAGGUUAAAAGCCUUAGUGAAAGCGACCACACUAACUAGCUAAAAGUAUUCUUAAUUUCAUAGAUAUUAAGAAUAGGAUAUCCUUCAUAGUCAUAAGGCUAAGAAGUUAAAUAUUUUCUAGGAAUAUAGUGAUGGGUAAGUUACUUCUAUUAGACCCGAAGCUAGGUGAUCUUCCUAAGACCAGAUUAUAAUGGAUCGAACGGGUGAAUGUAGCAAAAUUCUCCGAAGAGUUUUAGGAAGCGGUGAAAUGCCAAUCUGACCUAGUGAUAGCUGGUUUUCUACGAAACAUAUGUAAGUAUGACAUCUAAACAAAAUUUAUGGUGGUACAGCACUGAGUUCCCAACUAUUUCUUUUUUUUAAAGAAAAGUUUAGGUUGCGGGGACGUCGAAAAUCUUACCAAUGGAAGAGAAUCUCGGAAUGACAUAAAUUGAUGAUAGAUAUUCAGACUGCUCAUGCGAAGUUGGGUAGUCAAGACGGAAACAGCCGAGAACACGAAACAAGGUCCCAAAUGAUUUUUAAGUGAAAUGAAGGAAGUAAUAUAUUGAAUGCAGCUGUAAAGUGAGCCUGGUAGUCGCUAUCUUUUAAUAAACGUAAUGUAACAACGUAGCAGCCUUAAACAAUAGAAUAUUACACCAAAAAUUUAACGGGUCUCAAAAAAUCAACCGAUAUCGUGUUUAUUUUGAAUAAUAAAAAUUAAUAUUCAAUAUACAGGUAGUAGAACAUUCAGUAUACUGAUGAUAAAACAGUGUUUCAUUGUUUUUAGGUCACUGAAGAGAGAAUGCUGACAUGAGUAACGUAAAAAGAAGUUAUAAUACUUCUCGCCGAAUACGAAAGGGUUGUAAGGAAAGGUUAAACCACCUUAUGUUAAUGCGGCCUCUAAGGAACAAAACCAAAGUUUUGUCUGAUGAGUAUGAAUUAGAAAGUCCAUUUUUAAAAAUAAAAAUUUAAUAAAGGGACCAGGAAAAGAAUAUAUUCUUAACUACCGUACCCUAAACCGACACAGGUUCGUAAGUAGAGUAUACUAAGGCGUAGAGCUAAAAGUUGUUAAGGAACUCGGCAAGUUCUCCUCAUAAGUUUGACGAUAAGAGGAACCCGAUAAGGGUGGCACAAAAUCGGAGGCCCCGACUGUUUACUAAAAACACAAUUCAGAGCAAUGAUGAAAAAUCAUAGUAUUCUGGAUGAAAUUUGCCCAAUGCCAUUAACAUAAAAGAGGUUAUGGGUAACUGUAACUGAUUGAAAGUCUGGUUAAUAGCGGUCUUAACUAUGAGGAUCCAAAGGUAGCAAAAUAAAUUGGCCAUUAAAUGUGGUCUGGUAUCAAUAGUGUAACGAUGGUCUCACUGUCUCUACAACUUGCUCAGUGAAAUUGAAUUACCCGUGCAGAUGCGGGUUGCCUCCAGGUGGACGGGAAGACCCUAUGCAGCUUUACUGUAGUUAGCUAUCAUAUUGAUCUACAACAACCUUAGUUAAUAGUAAUUAGGGAUGUCGAAUUGACGAAAGAUGGAAUACCUUCUGACUUUGGUUGGGUUAAUAUUUACCUUUUUAAGUAAAAUAUUAUAUAUGACUCAAAAUUUUCUUUUGUUUAUUCUAUUCAUAUUCUGUUAUAUAGUGUAAUAUGGUAUAAAGCUUAUAAGGGAUAGGUGGCUAAUUGGCAGUUUGACUGGGGCGGUCGUCUUUGAUAAAGUAGCAAAGUACAUCCAAAGAUAUUUAUUUAUUAGAAACAAUCUUUUUUUAAAAAGAUACUUACUAAAAAUUCAUAGUAUCUAUAUAAACUAUGAAGAAUAUAAUUUAUUAUAUUUUUAUUAACUUAAGGUAUAGCUAGAAAAUUGAAUGGAAAUCAAUCAACCAGUGUGAAAGGUUGUAAUAGGCGUAAUGGCGGAAAGCAUGCCUAACUGAAAGACUUAGAAGUCGAACAGAUACGUAAGUAGGGCAUAGUGACCCUUCGCUAUAUUAUGGAAUAGACGGGGAUCAAUCGAUAAAAGUUACGCUAGGGAUAACAGGCUGAUAGCUGGUGAGAGUACACAUUGUCCCGGCUGUUUGGCACCUCGAUGUCGACUCAACCUAUCCUCCGGGGGUAGAAGCUUGGAAGGGUUCGGCUGUUCGCCGAUUAAAAGGUUACGCGAGUUGGGUUUAAUACGACGUGAGUCAGUAUGGUCCCUAUCUUCUGGAGGGAUAUAUAUGAAAGAGAGUAGACUUUCUAGUACGAAAGGAUCAAUAAGCUGUGUUUCUCUUGUGUACCAAUUGUUCACCUAAUAUUUCUCUCCAGGAAGAUAGGUGGGCAUAGUUGGGUAGCUACAAACAUGUUAGAUAAGUGCUGAAUGAAUCUAAAGCACGAAGCUAUCUCUCAGACAUAUAAAAAUUAUCUAAAAUUUAAAAAAUUUUUUAUUAUAAAAACUCUUCUUAUUCACAUUGAUUAAAAAGAAAACUAAUAAAAUAUCAAUUAAAAAGAUAAUCAAUAA
rnacentral:rRNA from 1 species